GCUCAGAGAUGAGCUUGUGCCUUCGGGAACUUAGAGACAGGUGCUGCAUGGCUGUCGUCAGCUCGUGUUGUGAAAUGUUGGGUUAAGUCCCGCAACGAGCGCAACCCUUAUCCUUUGUUGCCAGCGACUUGGUCGGGAACUCAAAGGAGACUGCCAGUGAUAAACUGGAGGAAGGUGGGGAUGACGUCAAGUCAUCAUGGCCCUUACGAGUAGGGCUACACACGUGCUACAAUGGCGUAUACAGAGGGAAGCGAA
rnacentral:rRNA from 1 species